AAUUUUCGCUCCAUCUUUGUCACAUUAGAAUUUCAGUAUCGUCACAAAUUACAUAGCGGUAAAUCUUGGCGCCCAAUUUUUUACUAAAUGUGACGAAUAAUGCACAUUCGUCACAUAGCAUGAAAGUGAGGGCUGAAAAUUUUACUGGGUGAAGAUUGGCAGCGUCACUUAUGGCCCAAAAUAAAAAAAUAAAAACAAAACCCAACGCUUCAUUCAACAACGCAAGUCAAAUGCUUCAUCGUCAUCUACACUAGCCCAAGAACAAAACCCAACGCUUCAUCUACACUAGCUGCGCUCUCUUCCACAAACCACCGGCGACGACGACCACUCCUCCUCUCCGGCGACGACGACCACUGGUCUUCCUCUCUCUCUUUCUCCCUCUCUCCAUUACUCCCUCUCUGUCUCCCCCUUCGCGUGACCCAUUGUCUCCCACAUUCAAUCACAAACAAAUUCUCAUUUCAAUCUAUUCCCCCGAAAAUAACCACGGCUAGUUAAGUCCACCUUCCACUUGUAAUCUCUCAUCCCCUUGAGAUGUGUUCUUGGUCGAAGGAGGGUGUGGCAGCAGUAAGUGUGGGCCUGGAAAUGUGUUCUUGGUUGGUGUCCAAUGAUGUGUUGGAAUUGGUUGACUCUGGUGCUAGACUUCUCUAUGUGGGCAAGACUGCUGGGUACCAUAGCAGAACCCAGAAGGUGAUACAUGAAUUGCUACUGAGUUUUGCUGAAGCUGGAGCUAAUGUUGUGAGACUAAAAGGAGGGGAUCCACUGGUGUUUGGUAGGGGUGGGGAGGAGAUGGAUUUUCUGCGACAGCAAGGAAUUGAAGUGAAUGUUAUUCCAGGCCGACACUGGCAUAGCAGAACUGAUAGCCCUUGAAGUUUCCAAACAGCCACAGUCAAUAUCCUUGGAAGAACAAGUAGACCACUAAUUGACAGUACAUAAAGACCUUGUUAAAAGGCUUUUUUCUUGUAGUGAGUUAACUUUUUAGAUGGUUUAAGAUGUAUUUGAAUUAUUUGUCUAGAUAGUUUGUACAUGAUUUUUUCUGUGUAAAUGAAAGAAAAAUGGAUUUGUUGUGUAAGCACAUCUUUUUGUUAUAUGGAGGCCAUAUUUUCUGCCUAUAUUACCACAGGAAAGAUUCUUUUGUAGCUUUUUAUGCUUUGUAUGUACACCAUUUUUAGGAGUGUGAUUUUUAUUUUUUCAUGCUUCUUGACAUAUAAUCCUUUGAUGGAUUCUGUUUUUUAUCCUUUUAUUUCCCUCACCAUGGUCACUUCUUAGACAUCAAACAUUAAUUCUGUUUGUCUUCUCACUUUAUUGUUAACAAUGUUGUAUUAUGUUUUAUAUUUUCUGGCAGUGUGUAGCUUCCCAGCCAUAAAUAAGGAUGUUCUUCCCCAAUUUGAACCAAAAAGAUCCAUUCUUUUUGGUUGUCGUUGAGGAUCGUUUGCAAUUUGGUUCAACUCUUUUUCAUCUUGGGACAACAUUACUUUCAGUUGUAGAAAAAUUAUAUUGUAGUUAUGAGAAGAAAAAAACAUGUAGUUGAGACUAUUGUAUAUCAAACAACGUAAUUAUUUUGAUGUAAUGGAAUGAAAUUUGAGUUCAAUUUACUUGCGAAACUUUGGGGAUCUUGAAUGUAUUAUUUUGCUAUAUUAUACAAGAAAAUAAUAUAAUGGGGAAUGGUA